rnacentral:lncRNA from 1 species
GAAAUCACCCGUCUUCUGCGUCGCUCACGCUGGGAGCUGUAGACUGGAGCUGUAGACAGGAGCUGUUCCUAUUCGGGCAUCUUGGCUCCUCCUUGAGUGGAGUAAAUGUCCCUCUGUGGUGGGCACAGCAAAUGGCAGCCUUGUCUUUGGUCCCUGCCCCCGCCCCCAAGCCCCCGUUGCCUGCCCAGGUCUUCACAGAAGAUGGAAGUACUGGAUUGCCAACCUACUCAUUUUUCUCUAGUGAAAGAACCAGGAACUCAGUGCCUAAGAAGCAAAAUCUUCUUGUAGAAAUGGCAGUGGGUGGCCACUGUCCACCAUGAAAGAACCUUACUCUGCUGGAAAGGCUCAACCCAUUCUAGUUAUGUCAAACUCAACCUGCUCUUCCUCCUCCUCUAGCAAGCUUGAAGGUGAGCACCUCGAAGGGCUUCUUUUUAUGUUGAAAGGCACGGGUUUGCAUGGCGGUUCAUCAGAGGUCAAUACCCCAGUUUGAGAAAGUCCACUGUGGGGAGGAAAGAGAGACUUAAACAAGCCCUGGAAAAACAAAGAAUGGAACACCCCUCCGCUGACUUCAACCAACUGCCUGCUGAUGCGGCCUGACUCCCAGCCCUUUUUGCAGUUUUGAAGUGACAAACUGACUAGGCUACAAAGUAUUCAACCAUGGGCUGGUUCUGGCUGGUUCACCGAGGCUGUGUACAAAGUGUCUUCAUGUCCUGUGUUUCACCUUUUAACAUACAGAACCUAAUUUUACUGCAUUUUAAUGUUAAUUCUCCACUCGAAGGUGAACAUGGGAUGUAUGUAACACAUAUGUUUGCUUAUCAAGCACACAUAUGACCCCCUUUCAUGAAUAUUCAUAGUUCCCCCUGUGACCUGUUGAAUAUGUCUGUUUAGCCAACCUGUUUGGCAUAAAACUCCUAUCCCACCCUAUCUCCCUCAAAGUACCUGUUUGUGGUCUCAGCUGGAGGUGCCACUUCCCAGCCUGCAGUUUGCAACCCUUCUCAAGAAAUAAAGUCUUCCUUUCCAAGUU